rnacentral:rRNA from 1 species
AUUGAACGCUGGCGGCAGGCCUAACACAUGCAAGUCGAGCGGAUGAAGGGAGCUUGCUCCUGGAUUCAGCGGCGGACGGGUGAGUAAUGCCUAGGAAUCUGCCUGGUAGUGGGGGAUAACGUCCGGAAACGGGCGCUAAUACCGCAUACGUCCUGAGGGAGAAAGUGGGGGAUCUUCGGACCUCACGCUAUCAGAUGAGCCUAGGUCGGAUUAGCUCGUUGGUGGGGUAAAGGCCUACCAAGGCGACGAUCCGUAACUGGUCUGAGAGGAUGAUCAGUCACACUGGAACUGAGACACGGUCCAGACUCCUACGGGAGGCAGCAGUGGGGAAUAUUGGACAAUGGGCGAAAGCCUGAUCCAGCCAUGCCGCGUGUGUGAAGAAGGUCUUCGGAUUGUAAAGCACUUUAAGUUGGGAGGAAGGGCAGUAAGUUAAUACCUUGCUGUUUUGACGUUACCAACAGAAUAAGCACCGGCUAACUUCGUG